UCUAGCGUCAUCGAUCGCUCUUUCUCUAGAUCCCUGUUAAAAGCGGAAUAAAAUCGGAGAAACAACGAACGUUGGUUCCUCGGUUAAUAUUCGAUUCACUCGAUUCACGGGAGUUAAAGACGAGCUUCAUUUCAACGAAAUGUAUCGAACAGAAAUGUUUUCUUUCUUCUACCAGAGUUUUACAUAUUUUCGCAUCGCCUGUGACGCGAGAUUCGAUCCCCACCGAUCCGAAAUAAGCCUGCCCUUGCUGACAUUCGCGUAAUAUCGCAACGAGACAAACUUUUUAGAAAGCAACAUCGGUUCGAAUGAUAUCGCUUGGAAAAUAACAGGGUAUCGUGUGGCAUUACGCCUGGCCGACGAAAACUGCAGUCAUCCGUGAUACUUGGAACGCAAAAAGGUGAAAGAAGAGAAAUCUUAGAAAGUGAUGAUAACGCUGUAUGACAACGCGCAGACUCGAUCGCUUUCUAGAGGAGACGUCUAUCAUUCAUCGACGCUAAACGUUAUAUCGCAUUCGGUGAACUUUGCUCGUUAAACAGCUGAGUUUUCUCGAUACAAGAUUGCUUAUAAUAGUUUCUUUCCCCGCUGUCUUAUCUUUCAACCGGUCGAGUAGAAUGUAGCAACUUUUGCUUGUCUAUGUUUGUUCGAUAACAACGAUCCCGGGAAAAAAAUUUCCAGGAACAAUAUAUAUUAAAUAGAACUAUCAGCGAUAAGAAUCGAAGGGAUUUUUACAAAAGUGUUAUGUACAAGUUAUCGCAGAUUAUUGUAAGCUCGGCGGUUGUGAUUCGUCACUUCGAGAUAAAAUUAUAUAAUAUCAGGCGAAUACGUGGCUAACAUUAUCACGAUAAUGUGUUUGUCUUAGAUUUCGACACAAUUCCAAGUUGUCGCCUGAUUUUGAGUUUUACGCGAGUCAUCUGUUACCUAUUAACGUUUAUUACAUGCAAGUCAUCGAUCCACCGCCUCUGAUGUAAUUCCUCAUGAUGUAUUUGCAAAACGCAAGUCUAAAGUCGACAGGCGAGCUCAUCGAACUUCUCGUAAUCGAUGUUUGUUUCCGACGUUAAUCGUUUCUCAUUUCUUUACUGCGCGUUCUCUGUCAAAUCGAUCGAAGUGAAUGACUUAAAGCGGCAAUACGAGACGCGAUCGCUAUAGUGAAAAUCUGGAAUGAAAUUGAUCGUAAAACAAGCAUACGCCCGAUAUAUCGUAUCAAUGUUAAUUUCGAGUUUCGUAAGAAAUCGUCAUCUGUCGAGCGACGUUCUGAAAGACCUUAAAACCUGAAAGAGCUCGGGGCUUAGAGUUAUCAAGGAUUACAGGGUACCAAUCUCUUGCGCAUCCACCUGCUUCUAUUUUACGAAUAAAGGCUGGUCGGGCGUUGCUUGAUAUUCAUUUCCGACGCGUCCACAAACUUCUCUCGAAUUAUCAACGACUGUUAGAUAAACGAAACGUUUCCACAAAAAAAAAAAGUUACCCGAAGGGGCGCGGUUUAACGAAUGGAACGCGGUCGCCGCAAUUCUCGCGCUAUUUGAAAUUUCAAUUUCAAAUAGCCUGAAAUCACGAGCGUUUUUCCGUGAAUUCGCGAAAUAUGCGACAACGGUUGUGAAAGUUGCGUUGGAAAUCAGCGAGCGAAAUCGGCGAGAAGAUUAAACGCGAGUGCAAUUUUAGCGAGUGGCAAAGUGCAACGUAGUUGCAUCUGGAAAUAAAACGGUCAGGAGGAGAGAAAACUGCCGAAAAUAACGGCGCAACGAGGCGUCCCGCGAUGGAAACAAAAACAUCUGAAGGAGACGAGAAGCGGACGGCUGAAAAGACGCCCUUUGUCGCGAGCAAGCAAUUUUCCCGGAAAUAGCGGUCCAUCGAGCGCGCCAGAGAUUCGUUUUCGAGAACCUCACAGGAUCGCAUAGAAAGAGAACAGAAUUUAACGAUGCCGAUGAAUUUCACAGGUUAUUUGUUUAAUAGCCCAGGAAAUCAAAAGAGCGCGCGAAUUCAACUUCGAAUAAUCAAAUAAUUACAAUUUGCAAACAGCGCGUUGUUUCGAUGUAAAUUCCAACGAAUCUGCGUGAAAGGUAGGGAAACUGAUGGAAUUUUGUCGGUGAAAAUCGAUCCUUGAAAGAAGGAAAAUUAAAUGAGGAACGCAUCCGUAAUGCGCGCGGAGAUUAUUAACUGUCUGACGGCAUAAUAAAAUAACAAGGAUAAGAUUUAUCCUGAAAGAUCUAGAAUGUAAUUAUUUCAUUAUCUUAAAGUUUCUUGCGUUUCUAAUAUCGGACGUAAAACAAUAAUAUGUACUUUCAACUUUUUAUACGAAGUAAAUAUCCUGAAUAAAUAUAAAAAUAUUAUGAUACUAUGUUUGACAAUUUGGCGAACCUCUUUCUCUCGAGUUACACCGUGGAAGGGUUAACCGGCAGCGUUGAUCACACGUGUUUCGUUAAUAUGUCAUUUUCCGACCGGUCGUUUGUGCAAACUCUCGAAAUUAGAUUUACCGUGGCAUUCGUGUCGCUUCGUUUUCAAAGGGAAACCACUUGUACAAUCGUGUGUAACAACAUUCUAUCGAGCGUAAAAUAGUUUUUAUCCCAGUAACGUUCCGCGUAAAUUUGUCACGAUGAUGUAACGGUAUCGUGGAUUGUCGAGCAUACAAAGUCGUUUCGCAAAAGUCAUCUCGUUUGGAAAAUCCGUGCAAUUUCUGCAGGGGCAACCGUUCGAUUGCGACCGGUUUGCCCGCGUAAAUGACAAAAGGCGAACUCGGCCCGGCCACGCUUUUAACCUUGAAACCGUAACAAGAGACUCGCGAUUGGCUCUCGAGUUUGGUCCAGACUAGCGUUCGAGAUUCCUUUCUCUCUGAACUAGAAGAAAAAGAGAAAAGAGGAACGAGAAAAAGAGAAGAAAUGAAAGUGGAAGGUCGGCAGAGGCGAAAGGCAAACGGUCACGGAUGGAAAGGGAGGCAGCGAGUACGGAGAAUUGGUAUUUCGUCAAAAAUUCAGUUGCCGGUGGCCCGUUCCCUUUCCUCUCUCCUUUCGUUCCGUGCAAACAUUGGAAACAGAUAUUUUCCGAGCAAACAGUCGUAGUUCUGUCGUAGUUCCCAUUAACCGGUUGGUUCUUCCGUUGCUGCAGUUUCUAGAGAAAAUAAAUUAAACGAGAGCGAGCCGAGUGUCGCGCUAGCACUCGAUAUUCGUCGGAACAUAGCGCCAUCAACGAUCGCGUCUCUUCCUCGCUAAAGUUUUUCUUGUCUUCCCUCGAGAGAGAAUCCCCAAAUUCUCGCGAUCUCCGAGCCACAUAACAGAAAUAUUUGCACCGGUAGCUAUCACGUUUGUUUUCCUCGUUUAUUGCGUGUCCUGGAUCGCGUCACGUUUCCUGACCCCUUGUCGAACGCGUUCGUGGUCCUCGAAAGACACUCGGAAUGCUCGCGCGCUUCAGCUCGUUUCUUAUCUCGGUAGCGUAUCGAAGAGAGGGAAUCGAAAUCAGGAGAAUAAAUGCCAAAGGCUUUACGCAGAGAACAUGAGACGAACGAAUGAUUACGUGGUGACUAGACCAAAAGAAAACCGGAGACAGAGAGGAAGGAAGGAGGGGGAGGGGCAAGUGCUAGCUGUUUAUCGGGUCGAGGUCAGAUAUAGUACAACUUGUGGAAUUUUUCUCUGCGUCGAUAAUUAAAAAAGACCAAUCUUCUUACUAAAAUCUUCGUGCAGGACCGACCGCGAUGAUCGAAAUAAGCAAAGUUUUUCUCCGUUCGAUGGAACCGUCAGCUUGUUCGAGACUUCGCCUUUUGCCCUGCUCCCUUCUCCAUUGUUCCGACCGAGAAAGCAGUUUCGUGAAAAAGUAAACUCUCUAAUAAAGAAUCAAACUUCCGGAUGUGUUCUUUGGAGAUAGUAAGGGCGAGUGAGAGUUAUUUCGAGGUAUCGAUUAAAUCAUUUUUCCCUCCGAGCCAACUUUUGAUACGGAUCGACGGAGGCGAUAUUUAACAAGCGCCUAAAACCCAUUUCUUUCACACGAGCCCUACUCUAAUAUAAAUUAUUCUCUUUCUUCUUCUUACGAUAUUAUUCGUUAGGUUCGCAAUUACAAUUUCUUUCUUCACCGAAUGAAAGACUCUGCAUAAUACUGGCGCAAUUUCAUCACGUACGAUGAACCUAAGAAAGCGUGGCAGAGAAUUUUUCACCGCUAAUGCAGGAUAGAUAUCGAUCACGGAGGUACGCACUUGCAACCAGAAACGUGCACGAUAGUCCGUAGAUCGAAGGAUGAAUUUGAUCACGUGUCAGGUACUCUGUCAACAGUUGGUAUAUACCAUAGAGUGGAUUUUCGGAUUGCCGCCACUCGUAGAAAUCGGAGGUAUAGGAAUUAAUUAAAAGUGCCCGUUGAAAAUACUGAAGCGAGAACGCGUCCUUCCGUGAAUGCCUGCGAAUCAGGUUAAUAAGAUACACAAGCAAGUAUCGUCACUACAAUCUUUCGUGAUUUCGGAUUUCGAUGUACAAUGCGUAUUUUGUUCGGUUCGUACCGAGAAUCUGCAUUAGCACCUCGGUGAACUGCGAAGGCCAGCUUGUUGUUAGGCACAGAUCGAAAAAGACCACGAAAUAAAAAAACUGUCGCUCUAGGAACGUUAAUCUGAACCGCUCACGCGGCUAACUUGUGAAAAUUCUAAAAACUUUAAUGCCCGAGCACCUGAUUGCCGCUUAUCGUAUAAAAUUCCAUAAAUUUUCUCUACCUUUUUUUUCGCGGAAUUAAUUAAUUUGGCAAAUAAGCGGCUCGUUUAUCUUUCGAUGAAAAAUCAUAUUGUUCGGCGAAUUAUACUAUUCGAUGUCGCAAAAAGUAUGUAUGUAUGCACCGGGAGAAAAGAGUACUGCGCUGCUAUUUCACGCAUCGUAUUCAGUUUGCACGAGGCGAAAAGCAAAACUGUGGCGGGGGCAGACUUUUUCAGCAAAGCCGACGCGAUUGACGAAACACGGGACAACAGCACCCCGAGCCUCGCAGUGAGAAUUAACCAGGCCGGGACUCGCGAUUAACGCCCGAAGCAAUAGGAUUAGCUGCCUUUUCUAACCAGCUUUGUUUCGCGUCCUCGUUUACACGAACGAGGACGCCAGAGCAAACAGAGGAGAACAGAAUUUCGCUGACUUCGCUUAUGCCACGAAUUUAGGCCCACGACGUGUAUAGCGACGCCGGUCGAAGAUUUGUCUGGUGUACGAACCUGAGGAGAUCGAGGAAAGCCAUGGAAAAAUAGAGGGAAUUAGAAGGAGUAUUUAUCGAAAUGGUCUCGAACGGGGCUUGGCUUGGAGGGCGUGCAUAAUAGCAAGAAGCAGCGACAAAAGCGAAAGGCUUGUUCCUUUUCCGACGCUAGAGCAAAGCCCCGUGUGUCGCGAAGAGAGAGAGAGGUUGGACGGCAAAGAAGGAAAAUGGGCGGGAAACACGGCCGCUCCUCCCGCAGCCUGGCCAAACGACUUAAUGGCCAGUUAUGAACUUUCUUCAUCUAAGUUUCGAGUACUUUUUUGCGUAUAAAUUGAAAUUUUUAUCGGGCAUUCCGUGUUCCUUAACGAGCGUCUCUUAGCACUUUCUGCUCGAGAAGUUCCGCGAUCCGCGCGAUCAGUCACGGUAGCAAACUCGGUGGUAACGCGCCAAUUCGCCUUGCAAAACGAGCUUUAUACAGUUUCCUGUUUUGCGAUUCGUUCCAAGAUUUACCAAAUACGAGACUCUUGAAUUUCCGAGACUCGUUAGGUGGUUCGGUCUUUGUGUCUCUCGAACAUUUCGUUGAGAGAAUUUGAAACAGACGUUACGUUUGCCAACACCUUCUCCUCCAUCGUAACAAUUUUCAAUAAUUUUUCAUCUCACGAUAUACAAAAUUUUGCGACACCCCAAAAGACAUAUCGUAUUUAAUUGGAUACCGUACAUUCACACCGACUAUUGCGCAUAUGUAGUUAGAUAUCGCGUGUUUUAAAAAUUCGGCACACCGUACAUCGGUUGUAAAUCGAGACCCUAUCGCACAAAAAUCACGUGGUAUCCAAAGAUCGAUGGCCAAUUUCUUGCUCGAUCGGUUCUGUCAGUUAGAUCAGAGUAGGACAUUCUGGCCGCGCUAAGCGGUCAAACGCGAGACUCUCGAUUACCUCUCUCCUCAUUUUCGACCGCUUUCAACUCGGAAGUCGUUCUUCUUCUUUCUUUCCUGAUAGCUGCUUGUCUAGACGCAUCUCGUCCCGCCGACUGCGCACUUGUUCGCGCACGAAAGCUUCCCCUUAGCCCGGAAACGAAACACACGCUCGUGAUACGUGCUCGCUCCGUGUAUCUUCCUAAAAAUAACAACCACUUCUCCCGUUCUACGUCGCGGCACGGAACUUCACUGAUUUUAUUUAUUUGAUCCGUACCGUCCGAUCGCAUCGACCUCGAAACUCGCUCUCGACGCCUCCACAAAAUCACUGAAACUCAUCUCGCAACACGAUUUCCUUUACGAUCGACGGAGCUUCGCUCUCUCUGUCUCUCUGUCUCUCUCUCUCUCUCGCUCUUUCGUCCUUCGUUCUUCUUUGCUUUGUCAUUCAUGCGAUUUAAAACUCCUGGGAACGGCAAAGUUACGCGAAGGAUUUUCAAUUACUUUCGAGAAACGCGUUUAAAAGCUACCUUUGUAGGUAACGCAUGCUCGCCCGUUAAAAUUGGAGGCAAAAGAUUCUAGAGAGGUUGCGGUAUCUCCGAGAUAUUCCGUCGCGUGGAAUCCGAGGAAAAAUUUAACGCGAGGUCGCAGGCAGCAGCGGGGCGAAGCGAAGCAAAAAUCGAGCUUCGAAAUAGUCGGAUCAGGGUGUCAGGAGUGCAAGAGUUGCCGGGAUUAAACGCGAUUAAUCAUCGCGGUCUCUGAAAACAGAUGGACGAUGUGGCUGCGAACAGAAGAAGAAAAAAAAGAAACGGUGCUGGCAUUUUCGGUGAUUUUACAGAAGCCGGAGCAGCCUCGACAUGUCCCGGAAUCGUUGGGCGGAAUUUAUGGACCGCCUAGUUCCUGGCCCAGAAAACAACUACCGCGAAAAUAACGCCGAAGCUUCGUUGGUCUUUCCUUUUCUCGAGAUCUCGUAAUUUCGUCAGAUGGACUUGAUGGAGCGAGAACUUCCAUCGUUCGUGCAGUCACCAACAUCGCCGACAGGCAUCGUGUACUUCGGGAAGCAAAGUACGGGUAGGUACAUAUUCGCAGGACAAAAGGAGACGAACGAUACGACACCGAAAAGGAUUUCAUUCUGGUAGAUGCACGGAUGCAUCGCGAUGACUUCUUAGACGAGGUAAUCCUUGCCGAUCCACGAGCGUUCCUAGGUAAUCAGAAACCGCGUUUACAUAAGAUUGGCGCUUUUACAAAGGCAAACAGGAAACCGAGCAGAUCAUUGCAAUACGAAUAGCUUUAGAUACAACGAGUAAUUGUUUCAGCUGUAGAUACGUAGAUGAUUUCGAAAGGCACCAGUGGCCGAUCGAGACGAAAUUUGGUGGGUAUCGUGAGACGAGAUAGUAAUUAAACGUUGUACAAUUAGAAGUGAAAUAUAAAAUCUUAACUUCGAAAUGCAUCAAGUCAUGCAUUCGAACGAUAUAGAUCUCUACAUCUCUGACAGACGACCACAGAAAAGUAUAAGUCAGAAUUAUUAAUUCCGCAAGGAAGCAUUUAUACUACUCAAAGUGCAAUGUAAGCUUAGCUAUUAUAUUUUGGAUAUACCGUUAGAAUCUCGGAAAAAUUGAAAUUGACUCGUAUUAGAUAGAAUCAUAAAAAAAAGAAAGUAAUGUAGAAAAUACUAGCGUACUUAUCCUGUUGACCAAAAUUUGACUUAUAUAACUUCUCAUCAGAGAUAUAGGAAAUAGAUAUCGAAUUUAAGGUUUUAUAUUUCAGGUCUUCUAUCUGGUACAAUGAUACCUACCAAAUUUCGUCCCGAUCUGCAUUGGAAAUAAUAUCCAUUGUUUCGUCCUGCUUUUCUAACGAAGAAAGCUCCUCGAAUCCCGCGUGCUUUCAAGGCUUUAUAUUAAUGUUAAUUUCGAGCCAAACUGCUCCUUCCUGAUCUUUUGUUUCGAUACAGCACACGGAGAGUAGGGUACACUUUAUAUACCUGUAGACAAAAUACAUGUAAAACGUGAUAUAAAAAAAGACCGCGUAAUAUUCCUGACGGAUUAAAUUUCUACAUGUUACGCGAAUACCUUGGCUCCGAUGUCUAAAUCGCACGCUAUCGACGCGCCUAUGGAAUUUCCAGCUCGAGUUAUGCCAUCCAUAUACUACGUCAAGGUGGGAUUUUUGAUGUAUAUAUUUGACGUAAAUACGACAGAAAAUCAUUCAAAACAUAUUUCUCCGACGUAUUGGCGUACUAGCGUCUGUUUCUCUGGUAGGAAAUCCUUACGCGUGGAACUAUGUCUAACCCAAAUAAUUAACAUGUGCGUUCAGGCUCAUACAUCUGACGGUUCUAAAAAUCCCACCUUUAAAUAACCAGCUUCUCACCAGUGUUAAAUGAUUAACCCUUUCGCUAUCGCGUGUUACACAUAUACGACGCACUAGUUGCCUUUCAUAGCCUCACCGUUACACGUAUGUCACACAUUCUAAAAGCCGUUUGGAUUGUCUAUUUGUUAUCUUUUAUCACUAUAUAUGUAAAAAUAUAUGUUAUAUUAUGUAAGACGUUGAAAAUUCGAAAUUUGUACUGCGUACAGAGGCUUCUUCAAUCGGCAAUAACGAAAGCUUCUGUUAACGAUAAGUAUAAUAUAGGUAUAAUGUACUUUGCAUUCGAUUGAUUAUCUUUCUAAUAAUCGAUGCCUCUUUCCAA